rnacentral:rRNA from 1 species
AACAGGGAUUGCCCUAGUAACGGCGAGUGAAGCGGCAACAGCUCAAAUUUGAAAUCUGGCUCUCUUUGGGGGUCCGAGUUGUAAUUUGCAGAGGAUGCUUUGGCAUUGGCGGCGGUCUAAGUUCCUUGGAACAGGACAUCGCAGAGGGUGAGAAUCCCGUACGUGGGCGCCUGCCUUUGCCGUGUAAAGCUCCUUCGACGAGUCGAGUUGUUUGGGAAUGCAGCUCUAAAUGGGAGGUAAAUUUCUUCUAAAGCUAAAUACCGGCCAGAGACCGAUAGCGCACAAGUAGAGUGAUCGAAAGAUGAAAAGUACUUUGGAAAGAGAGUCAAAAAGCACGUGAAAUUGUUGAAAGGGAAGCGCUUGCAGCCAGACUUGCCCGCAGUUGCUCACCUAGGCUUUCGCCUGGGGCACUCUUCUGUGGGCAGGCCAGCAUCAGUUUGGGCGGUCGGAUAAAGGCCUCUGUCACGUAUCUUCCUUCGGGAUGACCUUAUAGGGGAGGCGUAAUGCGACCAGCCCGGACUGAGGUCCGCGCAUCUGCUAGGAUGCUGGCGUAAUGGCUGUAAGCGGCCCGUCUUGAAACACGGACCAAGGAGUCUAACAUCUAUGCGAGUGUUUGGGUGUCAAGCCCGGGCGCGUAAUGAAAGUGAACGGAGGUGGGAACCCUUUGGGUGCACCAUCGACCGAUCCUGAUGUCUUCGGAUGGAUUUGAGUAAGAGCAUAGCUGUUGGGACCCGAAAGAUGGUGAACUAUGCUUGAAUAGGGUGAAGCCAGAGGAAACUCUGGUGGAGGCUCGCAGCGGUUCUGACGUGCAAAUCGAUCGUCAAAUUUGGGCAUAGGGGCGAAAGACUAAUCGAACCAUCUAGUAGCUGGU